rnacentral:rRNA from 1 species
AGACGGGUAGAGUAACACGUGGGUAACCUACCUCAGAGACUGGGAUAACAAUUAGAAAUGAUUGCGUAAUACCGGAUGAUUCAUAAUUAGAUAACUAGUUAUGCUAAAAGAAGCGUUUGCUUCACUUUGAGAUGGGCUUGCGUUGUAUUAGUUAGUGGUGGGUAAUGGCCUACCAAGACAACGAUGCAUAUCCGAGCUGAGAGGCUGAUCGGACACACUGGGACUGAGACACGGCCCAGACUCCUACGGGAGACAGCAGUUAGGAAUAUUCGUCAAUGGGGGAAACCCUGAACGAGCAAUGCCGCGUGAAGUGAUGAAGGUCUUAUAGAUUGUAAAACUCUGUUGUAAAGAAAGAAACCUUAAGAUAGGAAAUGAUCUUAAGCUGACGGUACUUUACCAGAAAGCCCCGGCUAACUACGUGCCAGCCGCCGC